rnacentral:rRNA from 1 species
ACUCUAAGCGGUGGAUCACUCGGCUCAUGGGUCGAUGAAGAACGCAGCAAACUGUGCGUCAUCGUGUGAACUGCAGGACACAUGAACAUCGACAUUUUGAACGCAUAUCGCAGUCCAUGCUGUUAUGUACUUUAAUUAAUUUUAUAGUGCUGCUUGGACUACAUAUGGUUGAGGGUUGUAAGACUAUGCUAAUUAAGUUGCUUAUAAAUUUUUAUAAGCAUAUGGUAUAUUAUUGGAUAAAUAUAAUAAUUUUUAUUCAUAAUAUUAAAAAAUAAAUGAAAAACAUUAUCUCACAUUUGAAUGUGAAAAACGAAGAGAAAUAUUUUCUUUUUCAAUCAAAUAAUACUGAGAAAUGUCUAGCAUAAAAAAUUGAAAUAUUUUUCAUCUAGAAUUGUCUCUUAUUAAUGAUUCGGAAAUAGAAAAAUCUUGGUUAUGUUAUUAUUCUUCGUUGGUUCGUUAAAAAUGGAUAAAUAAAAACUUUGCAUACAAGAAUUAAUAAAAAUGUUAUAACGAAUUUAAUUAAAUGUUUUAUCAUUAUAUAUAAAGAAUUUAUGGCAAGAUAAAGUUAUAUACAACCUCAACUCAUAUGGGACUACCCCCUGAAUUUAAGCAUAUUAAUUAGGGGAGGAAAAGAAACUAACAAGGAUUUUCUUAGUAGCGGCGAGCGAAAAGAAAACAGUUCAGCACUAAGUCACUUUGUCUAUAUGGCAAAUGUGAGAUGCAGUGUAUGGAGCGUCAAUAUUCUAGUAUGAGAAAUUAACGAUUUAAGUCCUUCUUAAAUGAGGCCAUUUACCCAUAGAGGGUGCCAGGCCCGUAUAACGUUAAUGAUUACUAGAUGAUGUUUCCAAAGAGUCGUGUUGCUUGAUAGUGCAGCACUAAGUGGGUGGUAAACUCCAUCUAAAACUAAAUAUAACCAUGAGACCGAUAGUAAACAAGUACCGUGAGGGAAAGUUGAAAAGAACUCUGAAUAGAGAGUUAAACAGUACGUGAAACUGCUUAGAGGUUAAGCCCGAUGAACCUGAAUAUCCGUUAUGGAAAAUUCAUCAUUAAAAUUGUAAUAUUUAAAUAAUAUUAUGAGAAUAGUGUGCAUUUUUUCCAUAUAAGGACAUUGUAAUCUAUUAGCAUAUACCAAAUUUAUCAUAAAAUAUAACUUAUAGUUUAUUCCAAUUAAAUUGCUUGCAUUUUAACACAGAAUAAAUGUUAUUAAUUUGAUAAAGUGCUGAUAGAUUUAUAUGAUUACAGUGCGUUAAUUUUUCGGAAUUAUAUAAUGGCAUAAUUAUCAUUGAUUUUUGUGUUUAUUAUAUGCACUUGUAUGAUUAACAAUGCGAAAGAUUCAGGAUACCUUCGGGACCCGUCUUGAAACACGGACCAAGGAGUCUAACAUAUGUGCAAGUUAUUGGGAUAUAAACCUAAUAGCGUAAUUAACUUGACUAAUAAUGGGAUUAGUUUUUUAGCUAUUUAUAGCUAAUUAACACAAUCCCGGGGCGUUCUAUAUAGUUAUGUAUAAUGUAUAUUUAUAUUAUUUAUGCCUCUAACUGGAACGUACCUUGAGCAUAUAUGCUGUGACCCGAAAGAUGGUGAACUAUACUUGAUCAGGUUGAAGUCAGGGGAAACCCUGAUGGAAGACCGAAACAGUUCUGACGUGCAAAUCGAUUGUCAGAAUUGAGUAUAGGGGCGAAAGACCAAUCGAACCAUCUAGUAGCUGGUUCCUUCCGAAGUUUCCCUCAGGAUAGCUGGUGCAUUUUAAUAUUAUAUAAAAUAAUCUUAUCUGGUAAAGCGAAUGAUUAGAGGCCUUAGGGUCGAAACGAUCUUAACCUAUUCUCAAACUUUAAAUGGGUAAGAACCUUAACUUUCUUGAUAUGAAGUUCAAGGUUAUGAUAUAAUGUGCCCAGUGGGCCACUUUUGGUAAGCAGAACUGGCGCUGUGGGAUGAACCAAACGUAAUGUUACGGUGCCCAAAUUAACAACUCAUGCAGAUACCAUGAAAGGCGUUGGUUGCUUAAAACAGCAGGACGGUGAUCAUGGAAGUCGAAAUCCGCUAAGGAGUGUGUAACAACUCACCUGCCGAAGCAACUAGCCCUUAAAAUGGAUGGCGCUUAAGUUGUAUACCUAUACAUUACCGCUAAAGUAGAUGAUUUAUAUUACUUGUGAUAUAAAUUUUGAAACUUUAGUGAGUAGGAAGGUACAAUGGUAUGCGUAGAAGUGUUUGGCGUAAGCCUGCAUGGAGCUGCCAUUGGUACAGAUCUUGGUGGUAGUAGCAAAUAAUCGAAUGAGACCUUGGAGGACUGAAGUGGAGAAGGGUUUCGUGUGAACAGUGGUUGAUCACGAGUUAGUCGGUCCUAAGUUCAAGGCGAAAGCCGAAAAUUUUCAAGUAAAACAAAAAUGCCUAACUAUAUAAACAAAGCGAAUUAUAAUACACUUGAAUAAUUUUGAACGAAAGGGAAUACGGUUCCAAUUCCGUAACCUGUUGAGUAUCCGUUUGUUAUUAAAUAUGGGCCUCGUGCUCAUCCUGGCAACAGGAACGACCAUAAAGAAGCCGUCGAGAGAUAUCGGAAGAGUUUUCUUUUCUGUUUUAUAGCCGUACUACCAUGGAAGUCUUUCGCAGAGAGAUAUGGUAGAUGGGCUAGAAGAGCAUGACAUAUACUGUUGUGUCGAUAUUUUCUCCUCGGACCUUGAAAAUUUAUGGUGGGGACACGCAAACUUCUCAACAGGCCGUACCAAUAUCCGCAGCUGGUCUCCAAGGUGAAGAGUCUCUAGUCGAUAGAAUAAUGUAGGUAAGGGAAGUCGGCAAAUUAGAUCCGUAACUUCGGGAUAAGGAUUGGCUCUGAAGAUUGAGAUAGUCGGGCUUGAUUGGGAAACAAUAACAUGGUUUAUGUGCUCGUUCUGGGUAAAUAGAGUUUCUAGCAUUUAUGUUAGUUACUUGUUCCCCGGAUAGUUUAGUUACGUAGCCAAUUGUGGAACUUUCUUGCUAAAAUUUUUAAGAAUACUAUUUGGGUUAAACCAAUUAGUUCUUAUUAAUUAUAACGAUUAUCAAUUAACAAUCAAUUCAGAACUGGCACGGACUUGGGGAAUCCGACUGUCUAAUUAAAACAAAGCAUUGUGAUGGCCCUAGCGGGUGUUGACACAAUGUGAUUUCUGCCCAGUGCUCUGAAUGUCAAAGUGAAGAAAUUCAAGUAAGCGCGGGUCAACGGCGGGAGUAACUAUGACUCUCUUAAGGCAAGAUGGAGUGAUGAAGAGAAGUGGAUGAUGGCGAGAAAGGAGGUUGAGCUCACAGCAAAUGGAUGUAAACACAUAAACAAGCAACUAGCGGUGUAUUUUGCAAACCGCAGCGUCGAAGCCAUCAAAAAGCUAAGACAGAGGGGCGAUUAUAAGGAGAAAAUAGAGCAGAUAAGA